rnacentral:rRNA from 1 species
AUUGAACGCUGGCGGCAUGCCUUACACAUGCAAGUCGAACGCCCCGCAAGGGGAGUGGCAGACGGGUGAGUAACGCGUGGGAAUCUACCCAUCUCUGCGGAAUAGCUCCGGGAAACUGGAAUUAAUACCGCAUACGCCCUACGGGGGAAAGAUUUAUCGGGGAUGGAUGAGCCCGCGUUGGAUUAGCUAGUUGGUGGGGUAAAGGCCUACCAAGGCGACGAUCCAUAGCUGGUCUGAGAGGAUGAUCAGCCACAUUGGGACUGAGACACGGCCCAAACUCCUACGGGAGGCAGCAGUGGGGAAUAUUGGACAAUGGGCGCAAGCCUGAUCCAGCCAUGCCGCGUGAGUGAUGAAGGCCUUAGGGUUGUAAAGCUCUUUCACCGGUGAAGAUAAUGACGGUAACCGGAGAAGAAGCCCCGGCUAACUUCGUGCCAGCCGCCGCAGUAA